CACCUCUCAGGGCUGCACCUGGAGAGUUUCCAGUACUCUACCAGUCUCGGCUACUGGAGGGAGAGUCAAGCAGAGGCGUACUCAUUCCAUUCCUAACUUGGGCCAGUGAGUGGAAGGUAAUCUGCUACAAGU